CCCAACUGCUGGGUUAAAACAACCCAAUUGUUGGUUUGUCCAUUUUCAACCCAUCCUGGGUAUAUAUAUUAUCAACAUUUUUUUUCAAUUGGAUGACUUUUUUCUUUUAAAGCAGCACAUAACCAACAAACUGGUUUUACGGUGGUCUUUCACUGGCGCAUCAGGUCAAAUUUACACUUAAAAUGCAAUGUGGUCACAUACAUUUUCAACCACCUCCGAAUUUUGGUUAAAGUGGACGACUUCUUUAUUUUAUUUCAGUAUUGACUAUUGUCCCAUUUCGAACAGAUGUAAACGAGGCCUUAGUCAAUCAUGCCUUUUCCCUUACAUGCAAGUCCAUUACAGUGUUCACUCCAGCACCCAAAAAAAUGACAAUAUUUUACUUAUGGUGCCGGUGGGAUGCAUGGCCUAAGGUCUACAGCACAUGGCGAUGUUUGCUGUGAUGGUUGCCGUGGUGAUUGUGUUCUUUUCUUACCAAAUGUCCACUGGGUACCAGGCUUUACAUCAUGUCUGCCCAGUGGAAAUGGACCUUACUGCAGAUUCAGACUUGAUUAUAUCUCUGUCACAUUCAAAUGCAUUCAUUUGAAUCUUCACCCCUUCUCUUUCUCAGUUUGACCACUGUUCUAAGCAAGUAUGAAUGCAAUAUGGGAUGGUUGUAUGAUACAUCAUAGUCAAAUGUCCUAUUCUUUUUCACUCACACGCACAAUCCUGUGAAUUACACAGCAUAACACUGAUGAGAAUGCAUGGACAUUGGUGUAAUUUGCAUUUAAACACAUCCAUUAAGAGAUACACAUGACUUAAGAUGCUUGGGCUGCCUCAUUCUGAAUCAGACUAGUGCACACACACACACACACACACACACACACACAGUCUUUGCCCAUGCAUUAUCCAUAUCCUGGCUCAGACACUCAUCACACACACACACACACACACACACACACACACACACACACACACACACACACACACACACACACACUCCCAGAUGCUGCCCUGCUGUGAUGCCUGAAGCUAAGCAAGCCAGCAAGAUUAAUAACGACCCCUGCCUCCCGAAAGGCAGGGCAAAAAAUACACUGUUUGCAGAGGGUCGAGAAGGAGAGGGAGAGAGAACGAGAGAGAGACUCUUUUUGUUGGCAGGUUUUUUGAUUUUGAAACCCUCCUCUGAUGUGAAGUGGGGCAUCAGCAGCAGUGCGCACGGCAGGCAGGAGAGGCCUUGCUUGCUUUGGAGAGGCAGAUGUCUGGGAAAGCUUAUCUGGGCCAGUUUGUGAGAUACUGCAUUGCAAGAUGCUUCUACCCCCAUGGAGCAUCAGCAUGACACUGCAGGGGGAGCAUCAGGCGUGUACGACUAGACUGUACCAACAUGUUUUUGCAGAUCAGGGAAGAGGGAGAGGAACGGAGCACAGAGCCAAGGUGUGUUGAUGGAGCUGCAAUCCUGACCAUCCCCUGGGCAGCACGCGGAGUUACAGUUACAUGGACGAGGAGUGUGUGCAAGAUCAAAUAUUCACUUGUGAAAAGUCCACAGAGGCUGCAGCCUCCUCCCAUUAAUAUCAGCUUCCGUCUGGAUUUUGUCAGCCAAACCCAGUGGGAGGAAAUCGCCUGUCAUCAGGAGCGUACACGUGUGCACUCACAUAUACAAUCACACACACACUGUUGCAAAGCAAUGCAAGGAGAGGCAUGCAGCGCACAAUGUCAAUUUUAGAAUUUGGUGCUGUAUGGACUUUUAUACACAUGAUAUCAUUCAGCAGACAAGUGUAAGAGACCGUGAGAAAAUUGGUGUGAGAAUGAAGCCUUGUCCUGCCCCCUCCUGUCCCUUCUGUAUCAGAGGAUCAAGGUUUGAUCCUUAAAGUUGCCAUGAAAUCAUCUAUUUAUAUUAAACAAGACAAAAAUACCAAGAUUUUUUUUUAAGUGUGCAAAAAAUAGUCUCCGGAAUUGACUACCUACAAAGAAUACAAAGAAAAGAUAGUAAUAUCCAGAUUGUGUACUUCUGAGGCUUCAUGCACCAGCCGAGCAACUGCCAAUUACAGUAGAUGAAUAUGAAUGCUAACAGAUAGCUGAAGAAUGCGAUGUGAAACAAUUAAAAACAGCAAGGCAUGACACAAUGGCCAAAGAUCUAUAUGUGUACAUAGAUCAACAUUUUAAAAAAGGGAGCAAACUACAUUUCUGCUUAAUAGAUAAACAGGAUCAAUAUCUAUAUACAGUACUUUUUUGUAAUAAAGUAUCAUAGUUAAUACGUAAAAGCACCACAACUUAAAUAACAAAGAUAUAUUUUUUAGAUAAAUUAGCAAACCUCACUAUUGUGUCAUAUUGUAUCACACAGUCCUGCUUGUCCACUUUAGGAUGGAGAGGUGAGAGAGUAAGAAAAAAAAAAGAGCAGGGAAAACUAGCAACAACGCAACAGCUUUGUUGUGUUUUGUAUUCCUCUCUUAUCCUUCCUUCCUUCCUUUUAUCCAUGACUCUCUUGCUUUUAACAGCUCAGUCUAAUAUAUAUUCAAACACACACACAUGCUCUCACACACGUACACACACACACAAGGACUCACUAUACAGCUGAGGGCAAGCAAAAGGGUGUAUUGGGUUUCGCCUGUCUGAUAAAUAGCCUGUUUACUUAUAGAAUACGUCAGAGAAAGACUAUGAUGGAUGAGAAAGACAGUAGCCUCCCCUAACACAUACAGUACUCUCCCUAAGACACACACCUGCCAAACUCACAAAACACACACAUUAUUUCAAAGAGCUUACUCACACUCAGGGGCCGUUUACACGACACCAUUUUAAAACAUAAAACUAAAAAAUUUUUAUGCGUUUUGGCCAUUUAUGCGUUUGGUUCAUUUAGCCUACACAAAAACGUCAUUUAUGAGGCCUGAAAACACCAACCUUUGAAACGGGUUUCAAAGUGCAAGUUUUUGAAAACAAUACUGAUAUUGUCUCCAUGUACACUACAAAUACGUGAAUUUGUGAAAAUGGUGACGUAAUGUGCAUGCGUAUUAUGUGUUCAGUCUAUAUGCAUGAAGUUUUUCUUUACAAAUAUUCUCCGUUUUUAGUGUAUCUCUGUGGCAGAAUUACAGCACCACAUACUGGUCUGGCAUGUAUACUACAUCAUUUUAAGUCGGUUUUAAUGGUUUCGUGUGUACGCAGAUAUUUCUUGAGACGAAGGAAAAAAAAAAAGAUUGGAUAGGGAAAGCUCUGGCUUCGUGUGGAUGUGGCCUCAGUCUCUAGACCUUUAACUAAAAAGCAUGAACCACACUGCAGCUUAUUCUGGCCAAGAACCGCCCACUUAGACAGGAAGAGACAUGUCUGACCAAAAUGUAAAGCGACCAACCACAGUUCAUUCUGUUUGAGUUCACGAGUUUAUCUGAAGCAGUGUUAUUUUAGUAUAAUUGUGAUCCUAUUAUAAUUUUUAUUAAUAUUUUGAAUUAGUUUUUAUUUUUAUAUUUUCAGUUUUCAUUUUAGUUAAAGUUUUAGUAAAUUUGUUGUGUGUUUUUGUCAUUUUUAUUACAUUUUUAUUUCAGUUCUGGGUCAUUCCGUGUCAAAUCAACCAAAUUUCGAAAACUUCCCUGACUCAAAUUUUUGAUUUUGUUAAUAUUUGUUAUGUACAAAGACAAACAUAAAUAGUGAUAAAAGCCAAAAUAUUAAAUGUCACAGAUGUAAAUUGACUACAUUGAUAAUCCACUGUUUUGAUAAUCCACAAUGACAGUUUUCACCUGAGAUUUGGAGCCAUUUUACAGGGGUGUAAAAAUGACUGUAGAAAGAUGACAGCAUCAUUAUUUUAUAUUUACACAGAGAUUGGUAGGUCUGUUAGUGAAAUCUGUUGACUUUAGUAAUCUUUGCUGCAUUAUAUGCCAACAGUGACAGUUCAAAAAUGGCAAAAAGCACUUCCUGUGUUUUUUUGCCUCAAGUUUGCAUGCCUGUAACUAAAGAAGUAUUAAAGAUAUUAAAGAUAAAGACAUUAAAGAUUUCCUUUUAGUAUCUUCAUUUUAAAAUAAUAAUAAUAAAUAAAAAAUAAAAAAAUGAAAAUAAAAUAUAAACAUCUUUGAGUAAAAUAAAAUGAUCUGUGCAAGCGCAACGUAAAUGGUGUCUCAUACAGUAAGCCUUUAAUGAGGAAACAUCAAAUGGAAAUUGAUUAUUCAGAAGUCCACCACACGCCACUGCUGCGGAUCAUAUCCACUGCUCACAUGCAGGAAAGCACACCUGCACAUAUGCACAGGAAAUCCCCCUGCCAAGUAGGAAACUCAGACUUCUCUUUUCCCCUUUCUGUCCCUCUCACAUUCAAC